CUCCCCCGCAUCCCGAGUGCAACCGGAUGGCAAAAAUCAAAGCUGGCUCCAAUUUACCCCAGUUGUCUUCCUUUGAACACUCAUAAGCCUGUUUUACCAUUGCGGACGAGAUAGGCAGGAAAAGGAGCGUUUGACUUGGCGUCUGCCCCUGAUUUUAAUCCAAAGGAGCUGCUUUUGGAACUGGUGUGUUCGGCUUUGGUGUUUGCCUGCUGAGGAAGAGGUACGCCCUUUGUCCCUCACCUGCAGAUGGCUUGGAUGCUUUUACUUUACUGAGGCAAGCACUUCCCAGUGGGCUACAUUCAGAGAGUGCUUUUCGUAGCAUUAGUACAGAACCAAGUUACAAAAGAAUAUUAAUCUAAUACAUUCCAAAAUUCAAAUAUGUGUGAUUAAUAAGCAUUAUUAUCUAUAAAUAAGGCUCUAAUGAUACUUUGGCAGUGUUGUAAACACAAGAAUCAGAAGCAAUUAUUGUCAUUAUUGUUCUGCUAGUACUUUCCAUGAAUACCAAAUGGAUAUUACUGUCCAGCUCCUUGGCACAUAGAAAUCCUGUAAAGAACAGUUGUCAGUCAGUAAGGCCUGGCCGGCUGCUGUUAACUACGUUUGUGUAAAAUGUAAUGUACCUAAAGACAAAGCUGACGAGUUAUUGAAAGCAAGAUGACUGAUUAAAAAAUUUAUUCUUUGUCCUUUGCAACACCUAAAAUUAUGUUAAAUAAAGCCUGUGAGAAAGUUUUCCCAUCCUGUGAGAUGAACUGUUUGUGUGAUGGCUGUGAUUAAAAAUGAAAAUGGACUCUCUGCCAAAAACACUGCACUUCUUUGUGUGAAACACACAAAGGUGAGGAUGUCCCAGCUGAAAGGUGGCAUGUAAAUAAUGACAACAGCUCCUCACCCACCAGCUGUAAGCAGUAACCCAGGACUAGUUUUCAAGGACACAGGAUGAAAAGGGUCUUAAUCCUCAUCACAUUUACCUCUCCCCAGUUUGUACAGGUCCUGUAGACUGGAGUCACGCUGGUGGCCAGGUCCCACUCUCUGUGACACCCCCACUUGCCCGCCUUUGGCAGUCUCACCUCCCUCACCAAACCUUGCUGCUUUAGACAGCGCCAGCCAACAGCAGCAUUUUGUGGCCUGCUCUUUUCUCCAGUCUUGAUCAUUAUUUAUGUUAAAGAGUCACCAUUAAUCUGAAACGUGCUCAGCUUGAAAGAAAAUGUUGAGAGGAGUUUCAGACAGAGAGCCCUGUAUUCUGCCUGGCAAAAUAAGACUGUGCAGCCCUUCUUCCCCAGAAUUCCAGCAGCGAUGCUCUCAAGGGACCUCUCGAAGUGGUGGCUGAAGUUGCAAUGUUGUGAACAUGGUGCAGGUUAACUCUGCAAAAAGGCGUUUUCUUUGCCUCUCAGAUAACUUUUUCAACCCACAAGGCUGAAACAACUUCUCUUAUCUGAAAUGACCCCAGCAGAACUAUUCACAAGAAGACAUCCUCCUUGAUUUUUUGUAAGAUGACUGGAGUUGUAGAACAGCAAAGACUUGGAACAGACAUUGAGGUCCUAUUGCUCCUGUCGGAAACUUCUGUUGUCUGCAGCGUGAGUUGGAUGGGACCCAGAGAAACCAAAUACAGACAAGUAAUGAUGAGUUGGCCAUACAAGCAAGGAAAAUCACAGAUAACAGGUGCACACCAAUUAGCAAUGUAUCUUUUGGGUCAUCCAGUACAUCUUCCUGACACAAUGAAGUUGUUUCUUAUGGCAUAUUUUUUGUGGUUUUUUUGUGCCUAGAUUAAAUUUCCUAAGUGAUACCAUAUCUCAAGGGAGAGGUUGUGUUGCCUAGAGUAUCUUGUUGUCAGGACUUUUUUUCCUUUCUUAACGUCAUCAUAUUUCUUCUUUUUACAUCCCUUUGCAAAUUUCCUUCUUUCCCUUCUUUGAUCUCUUUUAACUAUUUUGAUGUUGUGUUUAGUAAGCAUUAAGGCAACUCAUAGAUAUUUAGCUGACUUAAUCUUCCCUAAUGUAGCAGCCCUUUCAGCCUUCUUGCUAUUCUUAAUUUCUUCUUGUGACACAGCUGCCUGUCAGUAUCUUUUUUAGUUAUGAGAUUUUAAAGAUGUGAUGCAUUUCUCUGAUCUAACAACAGAACUGGUAUAGAGCUGAGCACCCUUGUCACCAAAAGCCCCUGCUGUUGUGUCCAGGGGAGAGCUGCAAGCUUUCUGAACAGGCACAUAGGUAGAGUAUCCUGCUUGAACCACUUCCUUGGCGCUACUUUAUUGACCCACAAAACACUAUUAAAGCAGUUAACCUAGGAGUUCAGGAAAACAAGUGCAUGGCAUUUUGCAUUUUUAAAUUUAUUUUCUAUUUCUUAUAAUGUAAAAAGACAGAAUAGCACAGAUCAAAAAUCUUUGAUGCUGUUGAGAUUUUCUAACUCUUGGUCAUGAACAUAACAGACUAAAAUUAUGGAAGACAUCAUCUUCCAUGACUUCAUCUAAGUGCUAGGAGAGUACAUUGUAGAAGGUAAUUAUAUACAUAGUCACAAGCCUGGAUGUUAACUUCAGGCAAUAAAUUCUGAUCUACAGACUACAACAGCCCUUUUGUGCUAGAUGAGAUUUUGGUUGUAAUUGACUGUCUUUACCUUUGUGUUCUGUUGGAUUGGAGGAAUAUAAUUUUAAUCUGCUCUCUUUAAAUUUUCAUUAAGGAAUGUUUCAGCUACCUGCAGCCUCAUCCGAUGAUGCUUAAUGAUCUCAGCUAGCUCGAUCUUCUGUGCACCAGCAGGGACUUCCUUAAAUUGGUCAACUGUAUAGAACAUUGUUUUCAAGUUUAAUGUAGUUGGAAUUAACCUUAUAAAAUAAUGGCAUAUCUAAGGACAGAUUUUAUACAUAGCACAGAUAUGUAUGUGUGCAUUUAUAUGUGCAUGUGUGUGUAUACAUGUGUAUAUAUAAGUGCACACAUACGUAUAGAAAUGCUGAUGCUAUUCACCUUUUAGAAAUCUUUACAGCUAGUAUUAACAUGAACAUGCUGUUAAAUUUGCAGUGUUAUGCAUUUUUGUUGGAGUUUACUUCUGUAAGAUAAAACCAUCAAGAUAAGCUGUGAAACUCGUGCAGCUGAUGACAUAAUUCUAGAAUCUCGUGAUGCUGAAUAUCACAUUUGUAGGAGUGUGGGAUGGAUGUUCCUCACUGAAAUAAUUAUACUGCCUAUUGCAAUAUAUGCUUCCUUGUUUUUAUGUGGGCACAGAGAUGUCCAAACUAUUAAACAUAUAUGGUACAAUGA